rnacentral:rRNA from 1 species
UACGUAGGGGGCAAGCGUUGUCCGGAUUUAUUGGGCGUAAAGAGCGUGUACGCGGCCAUACAGGUCCGUUGUGAAAACUGGAGGCUUAACCUCCAGACGUCGAUGGAAACCGUAUGGCUAGAGUCCGGAAGAGGAGAGUGGAAUUCCUGGUGUAGCGGUGAAAUGCGCAGAUAUCAGGAAGAACACCCGUGGCGAAGGCGGCUCUCUGGGACGGUACUGACGCUGAGACGCGAAAGCGUGGGGAGCGAACAGG